CAGGGCUCAUGCUGGUCUGGCGUGGACCUGAGAGCCCGGGAACAAUGAAGGGUGGUCGGUACAGAGUUCCCACUGUGAUGCAGCAGGUUCAUGAUCCCGUUGUCUCUGCAGAGGCACCCAUUCGAUCCCUGGCGCCGUGCAGUGCAGUGGGUUCAGGAUCCAAGUUGACGCAGUUGUGGCGUAGUUCACAGAUUUGGCUGGGAUUCCGUCCCUGGCCUGGGAAUUUCCAUAAGCCGUGGGUGUGGCAGAAAAAGGAAAAAAAAAAAAGGAAAUAAAAAGAGAAAAAAAAAGUGAUUGCCUCAAUAGACUGAGCACCAGCUGCCUGGUCAAGGUCACCUCAUGCCCGCAUCAGCCCUUGCUGGGCAUGUUAGUGUCGCGUCUGUUACGAGAGGAACACUGCACGAAGGGGUGAGUGGCAGGCCUGGUGUCCUGCAGGGGCAGGUGGCCAAGCUGGGAUGUGAACACAGUCCGCCUGGCUCUGAGUCCUUGUGUCCUCUGCCCAAGAUCACAGGCAGGAACUCCCAGAGGGCUGCAGCGUCCGCUUGGCAGUCUGAGUCCACUUGUCGGGACAGCGAGGGACGGUCAGCGCCCCUCCAGUUCAGCUGUGAACCAAAUGACCAGGGCGACCUGGACAGGAGCCCUGCCCACGCUGCUCACCCCGUCUAAACUAACCUAGGGUGCAACCUCCCUCACGAAGGCUUUCCUUCCCACCACCAAGAUGCAAGAUGCCACGCCUGGACCAGCUCAAAAUACCCAGUGAGGAGGCUGGCUGGAGAGUCUUCCCUGAGGGCUGGUGUCACCUCACAGCUGGACCUGGGGGGCAAAGAGGGACACAGGGGUGAGAACCAGAACCCUGAGGACCAGCCCUGCCCCGCCCUUCCCUGACCCCCGGAUCCCAUCAUCUCUAAGUGUGCUGGUCAGACCCCUGCAGAGUCUCUGAGUAUUCCGGAGAACCCCCGGAGCUCGCGGAGCGAGGCUGCUGGCUGGCAUGCAGAGACCCGCUCUCCAUAAAUCUCCGUGGGCUCUGACGGUGGGCUU
rnacentral:lncRNA from 1 species